rnacentral:rRNA from 1 species
CCUACGGGAGGCAGCAGUGGGGAAUAUUGGGCAAUGGGCGCAAGCCUGACCCAGCAACGCCGCGUGAAGGAAGAAGGCUUUCGGGUUGUAAACUUCUUUUGUCAGGGACGAAGCAAGUGACGGUACCUGACGAAUAAGCCACGGCUAACUACGUGCCAGCAGCCGCGGUAAUACGUAGGUGGCAAGCGUUAUCCGGAUUUACUGGGUGUAAAGGGCGUGUAGGCGGGGAGGCAAGUCAGAUGUGAAAACCACGGGCUCAACCUGUGGCCUGCAUUUGAAACUGUUUUUCUUGAGUGCUGGGGAGGCAAUCGGAAUUCCGUGUGUAGCGGUGAAAUGCGUAGAUAUACGGAGGAACACCAGUGGCGAAGGCGGAUUGCUGGACAGUAACUGACGCUGAGGCGCGAAAGCGUGGGGAGCAAACAGGAUUAGAUACCCCUGUAGUC